AUGGAGAGGAGCCUGGAAACUGUGCUGGGGCUGCUGUGCAUAUGGCUUUGGGUGAAAGGGAUGCAGGUGGAGUAGAAUCCUCCAGCCCUGAGUCUCCAUGAGGGGGUCCAGCUUUGGUCUGAGAUGCAAUUUUUCUACCACCAUGACAGCUGUGCAGUGGUUCCAACAGAAUCCUAGAGGCAGCCUCAUUAGUCUGUUGUACAUGGUUCCAGGAACAAAGGAGAAAGAGGCUAAAGUCAACAUUCAAUUCUAAGGAGCGCUACAGCACCCUGCACAUCAGGGAUGCCCAGCUGGAGGACUCAGGCACUUACCUCUGUGCAGGGCAGG